UACGUAGGGGGGCAAGCGUUGUCCGGAAUCAUUGGGCGUAAAGAGCGUGUAGGCGGCUUGGUAAGUCCGCUGUGAAAGUCCAGGGCUCAACCCUGGAAUGCCGGUGGAAACUGUCAAGCUUGAGUCCGGAAGAGGCGAGUGGAAUUCCUGGUGUAGCGGUGAAAUGCGCAGAUAUCAGGAGGAACACCCAAUGGCGAAGGCAGGUCUCUGGGCAUUAACUGACGCUGAGGAGCGAAAGCAUGGGGAGCGAACAGG
rnacentral:rRNA from 1 species